rnacentral:rRNA from 1 species
GACGAACGCUGGCGGCGUGCCUAAUACAUGCAAGUAGAACGCACAGGCUAUACCGUUGCUUGCUGCACCAGAGACGGUGAGUUGCGAACGGGUGAGUAACGCGUAGGUAACCUGCCUGGUAGCGGGGGAUAACUAGUGGAAACGAUAGCUAAUACCGCAUAAUAUUAAUUAUUGCAUGAUAAUUAAUGGAAAGGUGCAAUUGCACCACUACCAGAUGGACCGGCGUUGUAUUAGCUAGUAGGUGAGGUAACGGCUCACCUAGGCGACGAUACUUAGCCGACAGGAGAGGGCGGUCGGCCACACUGGGACUGAGACACGGCCCAGACUCCUACGGGAGGGAGCAGUAGGGAAUCUUCGGCAAUCGACGAAAGUCUGAGCGAGCAACGCGGCGUGAGUGAAGAAGGUCUUCGGAUCGUAAAGCUCUGUUGUAAGGGAAGAACGGGUGUGAGCGUGGAAAGAUCCCUCUGUGACGGUAACUUACCAGAAAGGGACGGCUAACUACGUG